GCGAGUGUGGCGGAACUGGUAGACGCCCAGGACUUAAAAUCCUGUGAGCUUCGGCUCGUGCCGGUUCGAUUCCGGCCACUCGCACCA
rnacentral:tRNA from 1 species